rnacentral:misc_RNA from 1 species
AGCAGCCGCGGUAAUUCCAGCUCCAAUAGCGUAUAUUAAAGUUGUUGCAGUUAAAAAGCUCGUAGUUGAAUUUCGGGAUCAAUAUGUUGGUCGUGCCUUGGUACGUACUGGCGUCAUUGGUUUCUACCUUCUGAAGAACCUCGAUGUCAUUAAUUUGGUGUCUUGGGGAAUCAGGACUGUUACUUUGAAAAAAUUAGAGUGUUUAAAGCAAGCUCACGCUUGAAUACACUAGCAUGGAAUAAUGAAAUAGGACGUUUGAUUCUAUUUUGUUGGUUUCUAGGAUCGACGUAAUGAUUAAUAGGGAUAGUUGGGGGCAUUAGUAUUCAAUUGUCAGAGGUGAAAUUCUUGGAUUUAUUGAAGACUAACUACUGCGAAAGCAUUUGCCAAGGAUGUUUUCAUUAAUCAAGAACGAAAGUUAGGGGAUCGAAGACGAUCAGAUACCGUCGUAGUCUUAACCAUAAACUAUGCCGACUAGGGAUCGGAUGAUGUUAAUUUUUUAAUGACUCAUUCGGCGCCUUAC